GUAAAUGCACGCAUGGAAGGACAAAGGGAUAAAAAUGAAAGCAGCACCAGCCAACCACCACACGCUGCAGACCCACGUCAGUAAAAUCCCUUAAUUCACGGAGCUGCAAAGAGCUACAACAUCAGGCCUCGGAGGGUUGGAACGGGCCGUCUCAUCUGCGUGUCACCCGCUGCACACGGCAGAACAGCUCACAAGGUGCUGAGACCUGAUAUAGCCCAGGGCCUCAGAAGACCCUCAAAGAAGAAGCUGGCCUGACUCCAGUAACUAGGUCCUGUAGCUGUCAACACAGAACUGACCCACCAGUGUUCACUGCCUUCUACCUUAACCACCGCCAUUCUGGCCUUUUCCCACCUGCAUCCUUGUUCACAGCUUCAAACACAGUCUG